AUACGGAUGAUCCGAGCGUUAUCCGGAUUUAUUGGGUUUAAAGGGUGCGCAGGCGGCCAUUUAAGUCAGCGGUUAAAUCGUGGGGCUCAACCCCAUUCUGCCGUUGAUACUGGGUGGCUUGAUUGCGGUCGAGGUUGGCGGAAUUCGUUGUGUAGCGGGGAAAUGCAUAGAUAUGAAGAAGAACACCGAUUGCGUAGGCAGCUGACCAGACCGCAAAUGACGCUCAUGCACGAAAGUGCGGGGAUCGAACAGGAUUAGAUACCCUGGUAGUCCGCACAGUAAACGAUGAAUACUUGUUUUCGGCGAUAUAAUGUCGGAGGCAAAGCGAAAGCGAUAAGUAUUCCACCUGGGGAGUACGCCAGCAACGGUGAAACUUAAAGGAAUUGACGGGG
rnacentral:rRNA from 1 species